rnacentral:lncRNA from 1 species
CCAUCCUUAAGGUCUUGACACAAAGGUAACACAUCAGCAUCACAUUUCAAAAAUCUAAAUGCUCCCUUUUGGUUAACUUUACAUGCAUAUUUAUCUACUGUUGAGUACCUCAUAUCCUUAGCUCAAUCAUAAAAUUCAAUUAUAUGCACUUCAUCAAUGUCAGCUUGAAGUACAACUGGCCAAGUUGACCAUUUACAUACCUCAAAAUUGGGUCAGCCACUAAACACCCUAAGUGAUGAAACUGUAAUUUCACAUAAACGGCCAUUGAAACCUACAUAAAAAGGGGGACAAGUCAGAUACACUUUAACCCUAAAAAGCAAUAAACUUUAACAAAAUGGGAGACAAGAAUAUUUGGAUAUUCAAAAAAGCCCUAAUUUUUUAACCCUAAAUUCCAUAUCACUCAUGAAAAAGACAAACCCCUAAAAUAAAGUGAAGAUUUUAUAACAAAAAAACCCUAAUUUUUUAUUCCCUAACUGCCAUAUCACUCAUGAAAAAAUACAAAGCCCUAAAAUAAAGUGAAGAUUUCAUAAUUUGUGCGUGCAGACAAAAGCCCUAAUUUUAUAACCCCAAAUGCCAGAUCAGUGAUGAAAACGACAAAACAAUUGAAGAUUCGAGUGUUUUCCCAAAUAUAAAAACCCUAAUACAAAUUCUCUAAGAUGAAGAAAUAAGCAUGCAGAAAUAGAUAUCUUUCACUAACAAACAACAUUAACAUUACCUAUAUUAUUUCACAAAAAAAUAGAAGAAGAUGAUGAAAUCGACAUCAAAAUUAACCAACUAACCUUCAGAUAUAAACUUCACAGGAGCUGAAAUUUCCAUGAAAUCGACAUCAAAAUUGUUGAACUAACCUUCAGAUAUAAACUUUACAUGAGUUGAAAUUUCCAACAAAAGUCAAACAGCUUUUAAUUAAAGGAGGGGGGGCCAAAAUCGUAUGCUUUAGGAGUGAUUAAUGGAGGGGACCAGGUAAUUCGACCAUCGUAUAAGAGAGGUAGGGUUUGGUUAGAUAGAGAGAGAAAAAGAUGAAAAAUGGGGGAAGGGUUUGUUGGUCUUUGAGUAAAAGACGGGGACCCCAAAAUAAUUGGCUCUUAUUUCUCGCCUUUGACGUGUAUUGAUAUUAUUGGUCAUUUGCUGACUAGAUUGACAUGUUGGCGAAUGUGUAAUACACGCACGCAUGGUCAAGGAAAAAAUGUGUUUAUUAAUUUUGGGAUUCAGGAGUUUAAGUGUUCAAAUGAGAAAGUCGGAAAUUCAUGUAUCGGCUUUAAAACCGGCCGCAAGUUUUAAUGGCAAGGAAGCCAUUUCGCCUAGAAUAAAUAUCACCCAUCACAAGUAGACAUUUUCAACUCUUCUUCAAUCAAUUCAAUUACUUUCAUUUCCUUUACAUUCUUGCUAAUAGAAAUGACACCAGUUAGCCACUCUAAAGGCAGAUUUUUUAGGAAUUAGUCCGUGCGUUCUAAAUUUUAAUUUUUCAGGAUAAAAAUAUCAUGAGUUGUUAUAAAAUUAAGAUUUUUAUUUUAAAAUUUUAGGACAAAAUAAAUACUAACUAAUAUCUUAAUAGCAUCCAUGAGAAUGGCAAUCUGUGCACUUGUUCCUACAUUAUAAGCAUCGACAACUUUUCAUUACAUACUUUCAUAUGAAAUUCAUGUUAAUCAUAGUCUAAUUUCUCCAAAAAAAUAUUUCUCUUUAAUAUCUGACAUUAUUUGGAAAAUAAUUGGUUAGCAAACUUCAGCUGUCAUAGUUUAUCCAACUCAACUGGUUGCAAAUAAUAGAGGGGUAAUAUCACUUUUAGCCCGCGCCAAAAACUUUUCACAUAUCAUAGUCAAAAAAAGUAUAAAAUUUGUAUAAAUUAUAUAUAUAUAAACAAAUAAUAUUUUUUGUUGUUAACCAACUUUAAGAAAACUGAAACUUAAAUUAAAAUUUGGUGGGUAGGUGGGGACUCGCGUCCCUUUCUAACAUUUAUUACGUGUAGACGAAUUGAAUAUGGGGCAAAGACUUUGACAAAGUAUUGUCUACUUUUAGGGUUUGAUAGGGUGUAUAAGAAUAAUAUUGAAUAAAAUGUAUUAAUAAUAUAUGGACUAGCAAUGCAAAUAUUAGUUAUGCAUAAAUCAUUUCUUAUCCACUGUUAAGUGUAGUGUAUUAAAUAUUAAAAUGCAUUGCAUAAUUUUUAAGAAAAUUAAUUGUUUAUAAAAAUGUCCUCCAUAUUCUUUAGCUUUAAGGGACUUUAGGAUAAGUGUCUUUAACAUGCUAAUGCAUGAUUUAAUAGUUAUACGUAGGAUAAUACCAAAUAGGUUGUACAGUCAAACCUCUCUAUAACAGUCACGUUUGUUCCGAUAUUUUGUUGAUGCUAUCGUUAAGUGAUGUUAUAGAAGACAUAUAUUAUAACAUAAUAUAAAAGAAUGGUUUUGAGAAAACUUGACUUCUAUAGUGAAUGAUUGUGUUAUAUAAGGAUGAUAUUAUACAGAGGUCUAACUGUAUAACUAAUACUAGUAAUACAUAUGUCUAAAGUGUACCAAACAAGUUCGUAAUACCUAUGGGGCAAAGACUUUGACAAAGUAUUGUCUACUUUUAGGGUCUACUGAAUAAAAUGUAUUAAUAAUAUAUGGACUACCAAUGCAAGCAGUACUUAUGCAUAAAUUAUUUCUUACCCAUUAUUUAGUGUAGUGUAUUAAAUAUUAAAAUGUAUUGCAUAAUUUUUAAGAAAAUUAGUUGUUUACAAAAAUGUCCUCCAUAUUCUUUAGCUUCAAGGGACUUUAGGAUAAGUGUAUUUAACAUGCUAAUGCAUGAUUUAAUAGUUAUACAUAGGAUAAUACCAAAUAGGUUGUACAGUCAAACCUCUCUAUAACAGUCACGUUUGUUCUGAUUUUGCUGCUAUAGUUAAGUGAUGUUAUAGAGGGCAUAUAUUAUAACAUAAUAUAAAAGAACGAUUUUGAGAAAACUUGGCUUCCAUAGUGAAUGAUUGUUAUAUAAGGAUGAUAUUAUACAGAAGUCUAAUUGUAUAACUAAUACUAGUAAUACAUAUGUUGAAAGUGUACCAAACAAGGGAUUCGUAAUACCGAAAGCUUAUGCAUGCAUUAUAUGCAUUACUUUCUCUAAUGCAUCAUACCAAAUGACCCCUUAAAGUAAGGUUAUGACUGAUAACAUAAUUUAGUCUUCUAUUUUAGAAAGAAAGCAACUCCCUAUUCUUUUUCAUACAGAUCUUGUUCUCAAUUCCCAUUUUACAAAGAUGAACUACAAGAAACUAAAACCAGUCAACUAAACCAAACUUCACCUGAAGUGGAGUUUCCAGACCUCUCGAACGUUAGACGAGCCAUCUGUAACUUCAGCAACUAGAGAAGCCGCUAGAAUACCUGUUUAAGUACAAACUCCUGAGGUUAAUUUCUUGUCGAAACUCUUAAAAACGAGCAGAAAAACAUCCACCGGAAAUAAUGGAAUAACACUGACAAGUACAGUGCCCUGUAAAACCAUUUGAAGUAUAAUGCAGUCGAGCAAGCUAGCAGCGAUGGAGUCUUAUAAGUGUAUGUUUAGCCCCAGCUUUUCUAUGCCAUGAAGAACAAGUAAGGACUAUGGUGCAACGCAACCACAAGAACGCUGAUAUGAAACUUUAGGAUUGAUCGCGUGUUACACAGUGGCGAAGCCAGGAAUUUCCUCAAGGGUGUUCAAACUUGAAAUAAGUAAAAAAUAAUUCCCGACAAAGGGUGUUCGGUAUAUGUUAUGUGCCUCUAAAACAUGAUAUUUUACAUAUAUACGCAAUGUAAUUUUCCGACAAAGUGUAGCUUUGCCCCUGGCGCUACCCCGAUUGGACAUAUACUAACAGUUGUAGUAACUAGAACCCUCAUGAUAAUCCAAGAGCACUAGUCGCUCCUCUGUUUCUAGUAUGCAUAGC